AUGACCCACCAAUCACAUGCCUAUCAUAUAGUAAAACCCAGCCCAUGACCCCUAACAGGGGCCCUCUCAGCCCUCCUAAUGACCUCCGGCCUAGCCAUGUGAUUUCACUUCCACUCCAUAACGCUCCUCAUACUAGGCCUACUAACCAACACACUAACCAUAUACCAAUGAUGGCGCGAUGUAACACGAGAAAGCACAUAC
rnacentral:misc_RNA from 1 species